AAUUAGGAACAGUGCGAUUAAGACCUUCAUUCCGGAUUUAAUUUUUAGUCUCGACUUUAAGUUUUGCAGUUCUAGAGUCGAGGUGGCCAUGGAAGUCGAGAAUGACUAGAGAUUAUGUACUUCCAUAGAAUUUUAAGUUGAACUUAUACAUUUUAGUUUAUCGUUUUAUAUCAUGUUAUAACUUUAGUUUUGGCAAGAUGAUUUUUAAAUUAGUUUUAAACCUUUUGAAAUUUAAGAAAUUUUAAUUUUCCA